ACAUUGGCGAGUAGUAUACUCGGGAGCGGUGUGCGAUGUGCCCGUCUAUGGAGUCUGACCAGAAGACUGCUUCUUCUGCCACUCCUGCGGCGCCGUUGUUUUGGGUCGCCGGCUGGGAUCCGAUCCAUUGUCCUGGGUGGUGGUCCGAACAGAGGAUCCGCUUCGGGAAAGUCGUAUUCCUGGUCGUAAUGUUGGAGGAGGAGAAACAGAGAGAAAGAACAGUCGGAAGAGAAGGAGAGUGGGAGUGGGUGGAAGGAGAGGAAAAGAAUGGAGCAGUGAGUGGUGAACCAGGGAGCAGGUGAACCCAGUAGUGGAUGGCCAUAGGCUCUCUGGCUCUUCUCUGCUCUGUGCAGGGGUCUCAGGGAGCUGGCUGGGGCCAGCCAGGCAACGGCGGAGUGGGCAGGCGAGUCGAGGCGAGGCAAAGCAGGCUCUCAUCCCUGCUGGCAAGUUGCUCCUCGGCAGCACGGAGUAGCAAAUCAAUAUGGAGGAGAGAGGCUAGCAGGGGUCGCCCAGCACUGCCCCUGGCCCUAGAGCCCAGGGACCCAGCGCUGCCAGCCCUCUCUUUCCUCUCCCAGUCCCAGAACCAGCCAACCCGCACUGUGUGUGUGUGUGUGUGUGUGUGUGUGUGUGUGUGUGUGUGUGUGUGUGUGUGUGUGUGUGUGUGUGUGUGUGUGUGUGUGUGUGUGUGUGUGUUUGAGCACGUCUGUGUGUGUGGUUCUGCCGGAGGGGCUUUCCUGGCUCAAGACCACUUGAUAUAACUUUGCCUGUGAGCGAGAGAGCGAAGGAGAGAGAGAAUAAAACAUGGACGUCAAAGGUCUUUUCCUCCUAUUUUUCCCUCUGAUUACUCGUUUCACCUGACUGUUUGAAUGAGAGUUCAGUGAAAAGGCCUCUUCCAUUGAAUUGAAUUGAACAGGCGUCUCUCGUCAGUCCCCCUCCAGUCAUGUACUGUACAGCCACCAUGCUCUCCACGUCUGAUGAACCAGGAUAAAAGGCCAAUUUGAACUACAGAUUCAGAUUAAAUCUUGCAUUUUUUGCCUCCCAUUUUCUUCCUCAUGACUCAGGUUACUAUCAGAGGAUAUGGCAAAGGUUAUUGAUCUAAAUGGAGCUGGUUUUAGUACGGUACCUUUCACUGUAUGUGGUGGUUACGUGCUGUAGUAGUAACUGACUUCACUAUACAACUGAACUGUAUUCAGGAGUGAAGGAGUCGUAAUUGAGUGAAAGAUGAAAAGGACUGUGGACAUGUUUCAUAAUGCCUGAACAGUGGCCUUCUCCACCAGUUCUAUUUUUCCUUCAUAGUUGAAGAAUCCACACAAGAAGAAGCCCUAUCUUUAGAUACUCAAAAAACAACCAAACAUUCCAAUGGAAUGAAAAUGACUCAAUCAUUGCUGAAUGGAAAGGGUGAGAUGCAAAAUGCAGAAUUUUAGUUUUUCAUUGGGGAAGAAAAGGAUUGUCCAUAUCUGCUGGGCUGGAGAGGACAAAAGGGUCAGAGCUAGUUUGGGCCUGAAACAGGAACAGCUGCACAGAGAGAGAUCUACAAACAACACAAUGAGGCAGACUUCACUUGAUGCUGAGGCUACAAUGGCGAUGCAGUGAAAGGAUCAAGCAUCAAUGUCCUGACCAGACCAGACCAGACCAGAUCUGACCUGACCUGACCUGACCAGACCUGACCUGACCAGACCUGACCAGAAUAAUGUCCUGACCAGAUCUGACCUGGCCUGAGCAGACCAGACCUGACCUGACCUGACCUGACCAGACCUGACCAGACCUGACCAGACCUGACCUGACCAGACCUGACCAGACCAGCAUAAUGUCCUGACCAGACCUGACCAGACCUGACCAGACCAGACCAGACCAGACCUGACCAGACCAGACCAGCAUAAUGUCCUGACCAGAUCUGACCUGGCCUGAGCAGACCAGACCUGACCUGACCAGACUUGACUAGACCUGACCAGACCUAACCAGACCCGACCAGCAUAAUGUCCUAACAUUUACAUUUACAUUUAAGUCAUUUAGCAGACGCUCUUAUCCAGAGCGACUUACAAAUUGGUGCAUUCACCUUAUGACAUCCAGUGGAAACCUGACCUGACCAGCAUAAUGUCCUGAACUGACCAGACCAGACCUGACCAGACCUGACCAGACCUGACCAGACCUGACCAGAUCUGACCAGCAUAACGUCCUGACCUGAACUGACCAGCAUAAUGUCCUGACCAGACCUGACCAUCAUAAUGUCCUGACCAGACCAGACCUGACCUGACCAGACCUGACCAGCAUAAUGUCCUGACCUGACCAGACCUGACCAGACCAGCAUAAUGUCCUGACCUGACCAGACCUGACCAGACCUGACCAGACCAGCAUAAUGUCCUGACCAGACAAGACCUGACCUGAUCAGACCUGACCAGACCAGACCUGACCAGCAUAAUGUCCUGACCUGACCUGACCAGACCUGACCAGACCUGACCAGACCUGACCAGACCAGACCAGCAUAAUGUCCUGACCAGACCAGCAUAAUGUACUGACCAGACCUGACAAGACCUGACCAGACCUGACCAGCAUAAUGUCCUGACCAGCCCAGACCUGACCUGACCAGACCUGACCAGACCUGACCAGACCUGACCAGACCAGCAUAAUGUCCUGACCAGACCUGACCAGACCAGCAUAAUGUCCUGACCAUACCUGACCAGACCUGACCAGACCUGACCAGCAUAAUGUCCAGACCUGACCAGACCUGACCAGACCUGACCAGAUCUGACCAGACACAGAGAAGACACAGAGAAGUGUGAUUGGAAUAAGGGUCAGUAAAAGGAUUAUCAAAGUCCGGAGGAUUUAGCUGAUCACCUAGUGUUUAUUAGUGGACAGGUAAGGAGGAGUCUUAACAUGGAAAGGUGAGUUUAUACAAGGUGGAUAUUUAAAAAAAAAUCAUUUUAUUAGAUCUAAAUGAAAUAUGUUUUAACCAAUUUUAUGUGGAUAUUGGUUGAGGCCCUAAGGGAUCAUUUGCACCUCUGUAAUUUAGGGUAAAGCAUUUAAAAGUAAUACAUUUGAUUUGCUCAAGAUUUUUUAAGCCUUUGCACUGCAGCUUCAUACUUGUAUCAAUAUAAUGCUCAUAUCAUUGAUUGUAAUAACAAUUUUUUAUGUAAAAAUUAAGGGAUGCUUCAUAUUUCAUUAUUUUGUGGUAAAAAAUACAAAUAAAGUGAACGUAUUUGCAAAAAUAAAA